CUUCCAACACAUUUUGCUCCAUGGCAGAGGCUUUGUGCAGUGAGAAAUGAACUACAUUAUUACUGAGUGGCUGUGGUGGUUAAGAAGUAUUCCUCGCCUCACUGCCUCUACAUUGCAGCUACUGCAGGGUCUUACUAAACCUGUCAGCGACACAGGACUUCUUGGAGUCUUCCUGACCAAGAAAGCCUCACGCUUGGGAGGAGCACGCACUCAGUUCAUGCGUGUCCUCACAGGCGGGAAGGCGGCUGCUCGUCGAGGACCAGCGACUCACCUUGUUCCCCUGUCCAAGGUGCUGAGUCAGAAGCUGCUUCAUGGGUCAUUACCUGAAAUGGAGCCAAAUCCUCAUUCAGUUUCCUUCGGGUCUGGGAGUCCUCUGCCCUAACCUUUCUUAACAUUACUCAUUGAUAGUUAAGAUGUUGAGAGAAUGAUAUCAAAGGUUUUGGAAAACUGCAGCUUUCUUUAGCAUGAGCUUCCGUCAAGGCUGGAACACCUGAAUUUUGAGGUUCAGUGUUACCAGCUGCAGGUAACUGCACCUAAUGAGGUUCUAAACCUAUUUCCAAAUAGUUUGCUCAUUGCUAGGGUGAGCAAGCAGGUGGAGAGGCGUUUUAAAAUAACUACAUUUUUAUGGUCUUUGGCAUGGAUGAAGCCCUGCCCUGUGAAAUAAUCAGUAUAUAUGUUUCAAAGCUGGUUAUAAAAAUGGAGUAGAGGAUUUCAGAGAGAACUUCCAUAAAAAUAACAACUCCUUUUAAUGCUUUUUU